GGGGCCGUAGCGCAGAGGUUGUCGCGCCGCAUUUGCAAUGCGGAGGACGUCGGUUCGACUCCGGCCGGCCUCC
rnacentral:tRNA from 1 species